GGGUUGUGAGGUUAAGCGACUAAGCGUACACGGUGGAUGCCCUGGCAGUCAGAGGCGAUGAAGGACGUGCUAAUCUGCGAUAAGCGUCGGUAAGGUGAUAUGAACCGUUAUAACCGGCGAUUUCCGAAUGGGGAAACCCAGUGUGAUUCGUCACACUAUCAUUAACUGAAUCCAUAGGUUAAUGAGGCGAACCGGGGGAACUGAAACAUCUAAGUACCCCGAGGAAAAGAAAUCAACCGAGAUUCCCCCAGUAGCGGCGAGCGAACGGGGAGCAGCCCAGAGCCUGAAUCAGUGUGUGUGUUAGUGGAAGCGUCUGGAAAGGCGUGCGAUACAGGGUGACAGCCCCGUACACAAAAAUGCACAUGCUGUGAGCUCGAUGAGUAGGGCGGGACACGUGGUAUCCUGUCUGAAUAUGGGGGGACCAUCCUCCAAGGCUAAAUACUCCUGACUGACCGAUAGUGAACCAGUACCGUGAGGGAAAGGCGAAAAGAACCCCGGCGAGGGGAGUGAAAAAGAACCUGAAACCGUGUACGUACAAGCAGUGGGAGCACGCUUAGGCGUGUGACUGCGUACCUUUUGUAUAAUGGGUCAGCGACUUAUAUUCUGUAGCAAGGUUAACCGAAUAGGGGAGCCGAAGGGAAACCGAGUCUUAACUGGGCGUUAAGUUGCAGGGUAUAGACCCGAAACCCGGUGAUCUAGCCAUGGGCAGGUUGAAGGUUGGGUAACACUAACUGGAGGACCGAACCGACUAAUGUUGAAAAAUUAGCGGAUGACUUGUGGCUGGGGGUGAAAGGCCAAUCAAACCGGGAGAUAGCUGGUUCUCCCCGAAAGCUAUUUAGGUAGCGCCUCGUGAAUUCAUCUCCGGGGGUAGAGCACUGUUUCGGCAAGGGGGUCAUCCCGACUUACCAACCCGAUGCAAACUGCGAAUACCGGAGAAUGUUAUCACGGGAGACACACGGCGGGUGCUAACGUCCGUCGUGAAGAGGGAAACAACCCAGACCGCCAGCUAAGGUCCCAAAGUCAUGGUUAAGUGGGAAACGAUGUGGGAAGGCCCAGACAGCCAGGAUGUUGGCUUAGAAGCAGCCAUCAUUUAAAGAAAGCGUAAUAGCUCACUGGUCGAGUCGGCCUGCGCGGAAGAUGUAACGGGGCUAAACCAUGCACCGAAGCUGCGGCAGCGACACUAUGUGUUGUUGGGUAGGGGAGCGUUCUGUAAGCCUGCGAAGGUGUGCUGUGAGGCAUGCUGGAGGUAUCAGAAGUGCGAAUGCUGACAUAAGUAACGAUAAAGCGGGUGAAAAGCCCGCUCGCCGGAAGACCAAGGGUUCCUGUCCAACGUUAAUCGGGGCAGGGUGAGUCGACCCCUAAGGCGAGGCCGAAAGGCGUAGUCGAUGGGAAACAGGUUAAUAUUCCUGUACUUGGUGUUACUGCGAAGGGGGGACGGAGAAGGCUAUGUUGGCCGGGCGACGGUUGUCCCGGUUUAAGCGUGUAGGCUGGUUUUCCAGGCAAAUCCGGAAAAUCAAGGCUGAGGCGUGAUGACGAGGCACUACGGUGCUGAAGCAACAAAUGCCCUGCUUCCAGGAAAAGCCUCUAAGCAUCAGGUAACAUCAAAUCGUACCCCAAACCGACACAGGUGGUCAGGUAGAGAAUACCAAGGCGCUUGAGAGAACUCGGGUGAAGGAACUAGGCAAAAUGGUGCCGUAACUUCGGGAGAAGGCACGCUGAUAUGUAGGUGAAGUCCCUCGCGGAUGGAGCUGAAAUCAGUCGAAGAUACCAGCUGGCUGCAACUGUUUAUUAAAAACACAGCACUGUGCAAACACGAAAGUGGACGUAUACGGUGUGACGCCUGCCCGGUGCCGGAAGGUUAAUUGAUGGGGUCAGCGCAAGCGAAGCUCUUGAUCGAAGCCCCGGUAAACGGCGGCCGUAACUAUAACGGUCCUAAGGUAGCGAAAUUCCUUGUCGGGUAAGUUCCGACCUGCACGAAUGGCGUAAUGAUGGCCAGGCUGUCUCCACCCGAGACUCAGUGAAAUUGAACUCGCUGUGAAGAUGCAGUGUACCCGCGGCAAGACGGAAAGACCCCGUGAACCUUUACUAUAGCUUGACACUGAACAUUGAGCCUUGAUGUGUAGGAUAGGUGGGAGGCUUUGAAGUGUGGACGCCAGUCUGCAUGGAGCCGACCUUGAAAUACCACCCUUUAAUGUUUGAUGUUCUAACGUUGACCCGUGAUCCGGGUUGCGGACAGUGUCUGGUGGGUAGUUUGACUGGGGCGGUCUCCUCCUAAAGAGUAACGGAGGAGCACGAAGGUUGGCUAAUCCUGGUCGGACAUCAGGAGGUUAGUGCAAUGGCAUAAGCCAGCUUGACUGCGAGCGUGACGGCGCGAGCAGGUGCGAAAGCAGGUCAUAGUGAUCCGGUGGUUCUGAAUGGAAGGGCCAUCGCUCAACGGAUAAAAGGUACUCCGGGGAUAACAGGCUGAUACCGCCCAAGAGUUCAUAUCGACGGCGGUGUUUGGCACCUCGAUGUCGGCUCAUCACAUCCUGGGGCUGAAGUAGGUCCCAAGGGUAUGGCUGUUCGCCAUUUAAAGUGGUACGCGAGCUGGGUUUAGAACGUCGUGAGACAGUUCGGUCCCUAUCUGCCGUGGGCGCUGGAGAACUGAGGGGGGCUGCUCCUAGUACGAGAGGACCGGAGUGGACGCAUCACUGGUGUUCGGGUUGUCAUGCCAAUGGCACUGCCCGGUAGCUAAAUGCGGAAGAGAUAAGUGCUGAAAGCAUCUAAGCACGAAACUUGCCCCGAGAUGAGUUCUCCCUGACUCCUUGAGAGUCCUGAAGGAACGUUGAAGACGACGACGUUGAUAGGCCGGGUGUGUAAGCGCAGCGAUGCGUUGAGCUAACCGGUACUAAUGAACCGUGAGGCUUAACCUUACAACGCCGAAG
rnacentral:rRNA from 1 species